GAGACCCACGCCAACAGUUGCCAGCAUGUCCUCCGGGAUGAUGGGGACACUGUUGGGACCGCCUCUGCUAAAGAGGAGGAAGGAAUGGGCAACGGUAGGUCAGCAUGCCCCGAAUUAUCCGGGCUACACGCGGGCUACAAUGGUCAGGACAAUGGGUAUCGACACCGAGAGGUGAAGGCAAUCUCUUAAACCUGUCCUUAGUUCGGAUUGUGGGCUGCAACUCGCCCACAUGAAGCUGGAAUCCGUAGUAAUCGCGUCUCAAAAUGGCGCGGUGAAUAU
rnacentral:rRNA from 1 species